CUUGAGGAAGCAUUUUGCCUACGUGGACAGAAAUCGCUCCCUGAAGGGCGCGCUUUGUGUCCAAGUAGGCAAAACGCUUCCUCAAGG
rfam:Gossypium hirsutum cultivar TM-1 chromosome 17, whole genome shotgun sequence